UACGUAGGGGGCAAGCGUUGUCCGGAUUUAUUGGGCGUAACGAGCGUGUAGGCGGCUUUACAGGUCCGUUGUGAAAACUCGAGGCUCAACCUCGAGACGCCGGUGGAAACCGUAAAGCUAGAGUCCGGAAGAGGAGAGUGGAAUUCCUGGUGUAGCGGUGAAAUGCGCAGAUAUCAGGAGGAACACCCGUGGCGAAAGCGGCGCACUGGACCACAACUGACGCUGAGGCGCGAAAGCUAGGGGAGCAAACAGG
rnacentral:rRNA from 1 species